rnacentral:rRNA from 1 species
AAUCAACGCUGGCGGCGUGCCUAACACAUGCAAGUUGAGCGCUUGAGGGGGGCAACCCCCAAGAGAGCAGCGAACGGGUGAGUAACGCGUGGGUGAUCUUCCUUCGAGUGGGGAACAACAUCGGGAAACUGGUGCUAAUUCCGCAUAAUAUCCCGGGGCUACGAGCCUCAGGAUCAAAGCCGGGGACCGCAAGGCCUGGCGCUUGAAGAUGAGCCCGCGUCCGAUUAGCUAGUUGGCGGGGUAAUGGCCCACCAAGGCUUCGAUCGGUAGCCGGCCUGAGAGGGCGGACGGCCACACUGGAACUGAGACACGGUCCAGACUCCUACGGGAGGCAGCAGUGGGGAAUUUUUCGCAAUGGGCGCAAGCCUGACGAAGCAACGCCGCGUGGAGGAUGAAGGUCUUCGGAUUGUAAACUCCUGUCGACCGGGACGAAUGCACUCGACCUAAUACGUCGGAAUGUUGACGGUACCGGUGGAGGAAGCCACGGCUAACUCUGUGCCAGCAGCCG